UGACCCCUGGUAUUACGAAUUGAUAACAACUCAUGUGUACCGAUGAUGCUUGCAGAUAACAACUGAUAUGAACUGUUUGGCAAUGAUGUAAUCAAAUACUGCGAGCCGUAUCUUCAUGUUGAUUUUAACUACUGUGAGCCGUAUGUCAACGAGAGUACUACUAAUUUCUAUGUUGUUUUUGUCCAUGAGCAACACUAGUGUUAGUUGUCCAUUCUGGUAAUUACUGCUAUAGAGUAAUUAGGUUGAUCGGGUUUUGGUUUCAGGUCUGUCGUUUUAAAGGUUAUACAGAUAA
rnacentral:lncRNA from 1 species